rnacentral:rRNA from 1 species
UACGUAGGUGGCAAGCGUUGUUCGGAAUUAUUGGGCGUAAAGGGCGCGUAGGCGGUUUGUUAAGUCGGUUGUGAAAGCCCGGGGCUCAACCCCGGAGGGUCGACCGAUACUGGCAGGCUAGAGUACAGAAGAGGUAGCUGGAAUUCCCGGUGUAGCGGUGAAAUGCGUAGAUAUCCGGAGGAACACCGAAGGCGAAGGCAGUGUCCUGGCGCGUAACUGACGCUGAGGUGCGAAAGCCAGGGGAGCGAACGAG